AGUGAACGCUGGCGGUAGGCCUAACACAUGCAAGUCGAACGGCAGCACAGUAAGAGCUUGCUCUUACGGGUGGCGAGUGGCGGACGGAUGAGGAAUACAUCGGAAUCUACUUUUUCGUGGGGGAUAACGUAGGGAAACUUACGCUAAUACCGCAUACGACCUACGGGUGAAAGCAGGGGAUCUUCGGACCUUGCGCGAUUGAAUGAGCCGAUGUCGGAUUAGCUAGUUGGCGGGGUAAAGGCCCACCAAGGCGACGAUCCGUAGCUGGUCUGAGAGGAUGAUCAGCCACACUGGAACUGAGACACGGUCCAGACUCCUACGGGAGGCAGCAGUGGGGAAUAUUGGACAAUGGGCGCAAGCCUGAUCCAGCCAUACCGCGUGGGUGAAGAAGGCCUUCGGGUUGUAAAGCCCUUUUGUUGGGAAAGAAAAGCAGCAGGUUAAUACCCCGCUGUUCUGACGGUACCCAAAGAGUAAGCACCGGCUAACUUCGUG
rnacentral:rRNA from 1 species